CCUACGGGAGGCAGCAGUCGAGAAUCAUUCACAAUGGGGGAAACCCUGAUGGUGCGACGCCGCGUGGGGGAAUGAAGGUCUUCGGAUUGUAAACCCCUGUCAUGUGGGAGCAAAUUAAAAAGAUAGUACCACAAGAGGAAGAGACGGCUAACUCUGUGCCAGCAGCCGCGGUAAUACAGAGGUCUCAAGCGUUGUUCGGAAUCACUGGGCGUAAAGCGUGCGUAGGCGGUUUCGUAAGUCGUGUGUGAAAGGUGCGGGCUCAACCCGCGGACGGCACAUGAUACUGCGAGACUAGAGUAAUGGAGGGGGAACCGGAAUUCUCGGUGUAGCAGUGAAAUGCGUAGAUAGCGAGAGGAACACUCGUGGCGAAGGCGGUUUCCUGGACAUUAACUGACGCUGAGGCACGAAGGCCAGGGGAGCGAAAGGGAUUAGAUACCCGAGUAGUC
rnacentral:rRNA from 1 species